rnacentral:misc_RNA from 1 species
GAUGAAGAACGUAGCGAAAUGCGAUAAGUAAUGUGAAUUGCAGAAUUCAGUGAAUCAUCGAAUCUUUGAACGCACAUUGCGCCCGCCAGCACUCUGGCGGGCAUGCCUGUUCGAGCGUCAUUUCAACCAUCAAGCCCCCAGGGGCUUGUGCUGGGGCCCUGCGGCUGCCCGCAGGCCCUGAAAACCAGUGGCGGGCUCGCUAGUCACACCGAGCGCAGUAGCACAUCUCGCUCAGGGCGUGCGGCGGGCUCCUGCCGUGAAACCCCCCACUGUAACCCCAAAGGUUGACCUCGGAUCAGGUAGGAAUACCCGCUGAACUUAAGCAUAUCAAUAGCGGAGGA